rnacentral:rRNA from 1 species
UACGUAGGGCGCAAGUGUUGUCCGGAAUUAUUGGGCGUAAAGAGCUCGUAGGCGGCCUGUCGCGUCCGCUGUGAAAUCCCGGGGCUCAACCCCGGGCCUGCAGUGGAUACGGGCUGGCUAGAGGCAGGCAGGGGAGAACGGAAUUCCUGGUGUAGCGGUGAAAUGCGCAGAUAUCAGGAGGAACACCGGUGGCGAAGGCGGUUCUCUGGGCCUGUACUGACGCUGAGGAGCGAAAGCGUGGGGAGCGAACAGG